ensembl:snoRNA
GACAAUGAUGUAUCAAUCCUAUUCCAUUGCUGAGUGUGCCACUGUGUGGAAAAAUACUGACUGAUGUU